GAGAGAGAGAGAGAGAGAGAGAGAGAGAAAUGAGCACCUGCAUCUAUUGUUCUGUGCUUCCUGACUGCAUAUUCAACAUUUUGAGCUAUCUCAUAUUCUUUCCACAGUGGUGUCUUGUACUUUCAAGCUGUGAGCCAAAAUGAACCUUUAUUUCCUAAGAUAUCUCACACUGGGUAUUUUGUCACAGUAUACAUCUAUUUAUUUAUUUAUUUAUUUAUUUAUUUAUUUAUUUAUAUUAAAAAUAAGAGAAAUGCUUAAAAUUCAGGAUGGACACAGCAUGUAUUUAAUUCAAAAGAGCAUCUGAAUGAGACACCAGUAAACCAUAUUCUUUCCGUGGUUAUAUUUUCUUCUUUGCUUGUUUUGUUUUGUCCUGGGAAAGAAUGGAAAAUAAGAUUAAAUAUGUUAUUUGAUAUCUUGCCUUAAAUAUGUUAUUUAAUCUUUAUUUGUUUGCCUUAAUAUUAAAUAUGUUAUUUAAUCUGUUAUUCCAGGUAGAAUGACACCAUGCCACUGAUUUUGGCUGUUUUAGUACCUGGAGCUUUGCAUCUUAGAAUAAUUUAUUUUCUUCUCACCAGUGACUGGCCAGCCCAGUCUCAUUCACUCACUGGCACGACUUAUUCUGCUCCUUGACAUUGGUCUCUGUGCCCUCUAUACACUGAGCACUGAAGUUUGGAGAAGAAAUUGAAGUAAAUUUAUCAUUAUGAUCAGUGUUUUCAUCUCUCAACUUCAAUAGAAGGAACAUCUCUUUCCUGAGUUGUCUCCUUAUCAUCCUUUGGUGUCUGAAACAACAGCAUUCCUCUGGUGUGGGUUUGUGUCUUAGUUUUAAGCUUACAGUGAUUUAUUCCGUUCUAAAAUUCUACUUUUCUAACACCAACUCAGUGUCAGAUAUUCAACCAAAUUCUCUGCACACUCUAGUUCACUGGAUCUUAGAAAUGCUCACACAAUGAUGGUCAAUUUAGCAAGAAAAGGCAAGAAAAUAAGAAGUGAUCAUGAUGCUAAGAGAAACCCAAUGAGAGCCAGUACUGCUUCCUAAAGAUGCACAGGACCAACAUCCUGAAAACCACCUUGACAUAUAUGACAGCUGAAAUUCUAAGGUAACUCCAUGAGAUAAGACUACUAUUGCUUAUGUUUUACAGAGACCAAAGUUCAAUAGAGACCUCAAGAAACACUCCCAAGAAAAAAAGAGUGAAAUGCUGAUAGUUAGUACAUUUUAGAGGGUAGAAACAAGUUUUUAAAUAGAUUACAUAUUACAAGGCAAAUAUAAAGUUAGUAGUAUUAUAAGUUAGUUGGAUGGGUGAGGGGACUGAGUUUGAGAAAAAAUUGGAAUAGGUGCUAAGAAUCAUGAGAUUUCUUUAGAAAGGGUGAUUUAAAUAUUCUCAAAUCAGCUUCAAUUAUAAUUACAUGCUGGUGCAUACAGAGUACCACUGAAGUGUGUACUUUCAAUGGGAAAAUGUUACAGUCUAUGAAAUAUAUGGUAGUACUACUUUUUCUUUUAAUUUGGGCUAGAUUAUUAUCCUUGAAGUUUCAGAUAUCAGUUCUAUGCUUUUACCAUGACAUUUGCCAACCCUCAACUUGUUAGCAUACUUCUCCCUCCCUUUUCCCCAAGCUUUCCAAAUUGGUUCAUCCUUUCAUAUUCUUCUGCAGACUGCCACAAGAUGAGAACUGUGAAAAAUACCUCUUUUCCAUCUCAUUGUAAAGGCUCACUCUGUUGGUAUUUAUCUAUGCCAGCUCAGUUUAUAACCUACUGGAUAUUUAGAAUAAAGUAUUUCUAAUUGAGAGGAUUCUGGCCACACAGAAUUGAUCUCCUCUUUAAACACCCAGACUUUGAUUUUAAACUAAAUAUUUUAAUAUUCUAGUGAACUCAAUAUUUAGAAGGCUGUCUUAGCCGACUCUACUUGAAUAUAUGGCCAUCUGCCUCAUUCUUAUUUUGGAAAUGUUUUUCUCCUUCUCUUCUUUUGGUUUUUGCAUAUACCCAUCAAUAGCUGCUUAUGUGAUCAUAUAUUUGUGUUUAUGUACAUGUAUACAUGUUUAUGGGAGGCAGAUACAUGCUCACAUGCAUGAAAUUGAGUAGGAAAUAUAGAAGCCAACAUCUGUCUUCCUCUGUGAAAAUUACCUUGGUUUUUAAGACACAGUCUCUCAGUUUUACUUAGAAAUCAAUAAUUUAGAUAGGCUGGCUGGUCAGAGAGUCACAGGGAUUUACCUGUCUUUAUCUUCUCUGGACUGAGAUUAUAAGUGUGUCUCACCAAGCCUGGAUUUGUAUGGAGAUUCUUUACAUACUGCAUAAACUGAAUCAUAUCCUUACCCUAAAAAGGGUUCUUUUUAUGUGACAUUUUCUACUACAAAUUGGUUCUAUGCAUCAGUGUAGUCUUAGAAACUCUGUGUAGGGAGUCCUGGACACGCUGAAAGAAUUUGUGACAUUAAAUGUCACAACACACUAAGUGGGCUUCAUUUCUACAUUCCUAUUAGCUUGUAGUAAUAACUUGUAAUAAGAGGACUCAAAUAUC
rnacentral:lncRNA from 1 species